rnacentral:rRNA from 1 species
UACGAAGGGGGCUAGCGUUGCUCGGAAUCACUGGGCGUAAAGGGUGCGUAGGCGGGUCUUUAAGUCAGGGGUGAAAUCCUGGAGCUCAACUCCAGAACUGCCUUUGAUACUGAGGAUCUUUGAGUUCGGGAGAGGUGAGUGGAACUGCGAGUGUAGAGGUGAAAUUCGUAGAUAUCGGGAGGAACACCUGUGGCGAAAGGCGGCGCAC